rnacentral:sRNA from 1 species
GCAGCAUAGAACUGAUUGUGGUCCUCUGAUGCAUUUCUGGUGUCGAGAGCUUCCUUUCUCAUCCUCCCCUUCCCCCAUAGCCACUCCCACAAGCUGUCCCAUCAAGGAAUAUUUCAGGUGUAAACUGAAUAUACCACGAGGCCUCCUCUUCAUGAAGUGCUUGGUUGGCCUACGUAUGGGCGGCAGGCUGGACACAGCUGAAUCGUCUUUCUGGGUCACCCUGUAACUCAAGUCCCCUUUCCCGUUCUCUCCCAAGGCUACUUAUCCGCAGGAAUUGGAUGCCGGCUGGCCCCCCGAUGGUUCCUGGCCUAGGGGCUGUCAUGGCAGAGGGAAGCCACCAAGGGCCCUGUGCUAAUCACGAGUCUUUCCUGUUCAGAGCAGUGAGGCCUGAGACCCUCAACGGUGCUGUGUGUACAGAAGGCCCCCAGAAUCCACAGAAAGGGCCCGCCUGAAACCUAGAGCAUUUGUGAAGGAGGAGAAUGGAAGGAACAACUGGAUGUUGUAAAUGUUUCUCAUCUGGCCUUAAAAUCCAUGAAAGCUGGAAAAUGCCAAGGCAUCUGUGCACAUACUGGUGGAUUUUAAUGAGAGUCCUGUGUUUGGAGCACCAGAAAUAAACCAGCUUCAGAAGCAAAGAUUUGAACGUCUAUGACACUCUUCCGAGCUGACACAGUGAAGAACAUGGAAGGAGAACUCACCCAGUCUGCCAGGGUCACAGAUGAUCAUACUCAAGAUCUUCCUGGGGAGUCAACGGCAAAUUUCACUGGGCUACUUUACAGAUGAAGAAGGAAUAUAAAGAAGGUUCUGGGACCCU